AGGACUCACAGGUUGAGAACCACUGAACUAAGGUGUGGACCAGCAUGGCCAAGCCAGGCUUCUCUGGUACGCUCCCAGUUGGCACACAAGGUUUAAUUGUAGGAAGGCCCACCCUGCCACCUGGACACCUGAGCUAGUGAAAGGAAAUGAGGACAGAAGCAUUAGUGAAGAAUGAAAAAGAGGAAGCAGAUGGCAAUGAUGACUGGAUAAGAUGAAGACUGAAUACUUCACUGAGCCUCCAGUAUCUGGAGGAUGGAAAUGGAAUUCCUAUCCUUAAAGGAGUGCGGUGAGCUCCAGAGUAACAGGAAAAUAAAGAAAGUGGAAGCAAACAUUUUCUAAGUACCAUAUUGUGUAUGAACAGAGGAAAUCAAAAACGUUCAAAUAAUUCCAAACCCAUAAUAAUACUGUAAUUCAAAUAAAGGCAUUUUAAUAUA